rnacentral:pre_miRNA from 1 species
CUUGUACUCCCUCCGUUCCGAAUUACUUGUCUUGGAUUUGUCUAGAUACGGAUGUAUCUAGACUUAUUUUAGUGCUAGAUACCUCCGUAUCUAGACAAAUCUAAGACAAGUAAUUCGGAACGGAGGGAGUAUAUU